rnacentral:rRNA from 1 species
CCUACGGGAGGCAGCAGUGGGGGAUAUUGCACAAUGGGGGGAACCCUGAUGCAGCGAAGCCGCGUGGGCGAUGGAGUGCUUCGGCAUGUUAAGCCCUAUUAGCAGGGAAGAAAAUGACGGUACCUGACUAAGAAGCCCCGGCUAAAUACGUGCCAGCAGCCGCGGUAAUACGUAAGAGGCAAGCGUUAUCCGGAUUUACUGGGUGUAAAGGGAGCGUAGGCGGCUUGGAAAGCCUGGUGUUAAAUACCGGGGCCCAACCCCGGGGCUGCAUUGGAAACUGCCAGGCUGGAGUGCCGGAGAGGCAGGCGGAAUUCGUGGUGUAGCGGUGAAAUGCGUAGAUAUUAGGAAGAACACCGAUUGCGAAGGCAGCCUGCUGGACGGUAACUGACGCUGAGGCUCGAAAGCGUGGGGAGCAAACAGGAUUAGAUACCCCAGUAGUC